rnacentral:lncRNA from 1 species
CAGCUAAGUCAGUACGGAUGCCCGAUUCACCAUCCGGGUCGGGCUCCUGAUUCUGUUCCGAGUUGUUCGGAUCGAGCUGUGGCGGUGGGGCUAGAAAUGAGGCUACACCCCAGAACUGGUUCUUGAGGGUUUUGGUCAGUUCCGAGAGGUCUUCUUUGACGCCGCGCGACGGCGAGGUUGGAGAUGAAACAUCGUUGUCUUGGAGGAGGUUUUCCUGUUCGGGUUUGAUGCCCUUGAUGGCGUCAUCUUCCUCAUCGUCGAAUUUGAGCGUAUUAUUGAUUGAUCGGGCAAACCAAGACAUUGUAACUUGGAUCGAGUUCGGUUUCGGAUCGCCGGCGAUCCACUGUGCGGACUGGGGACGGAUCUCCUUGAACCUGUAUGGUGAACAUCAACACUGGAAAAGCAUUAAGGGAUCAGGAGACUCGUUAAACGACACAGUUUAGAAUAUGCUGUCAAAUGUGUAUUUCUCACUUCACCCCUCUAAUUUUCAAUUGUGUCAUACAAACCCUUAUAUUAUUCUUUUGUCGCAAAUGGGUCGGGGUGAGAGAGCAGUUGGCACAUUCUAUGUAAAAGAUACUUCGGGAGAAAAUGCUGAUCCAGAAACACUUGAAAAGGUGAGACGAGAAAUCGGAAGUGCUGUUGUAGUGGUAAACAAAUCUUCGAGCUCCCCUUCGCGAGCAACAUCCAGAACAUGUAAAAGCAACAGCAGCGAAGUACAAGAAAGGUCGAGGUUUUCCCUGGGAAGCCUGUUGUGGUCGCACCUAGAGGGAAUUUUGAGCAAUUUCAGACCCAUAAAAUCCUAAAGUUGUUAUAUAUGGAAUAAGGGCUGCAUUUACCUGUAAAUACCAAUUAGCACGUGUGAAUUAGUUUCUCAUUCAUCUGUAAAUAAUAAGAGCCAGCAGCAGCCCCUACAGGAAAUGAGAGUUUAAAUAAAACAAUAAAACAAUGCAUGUGUCUAUCUGCUUUGUUUUCCCUUCAAGAAAAAGCAGUACCAGAGUCCCAAAAAUUCUCUUUUUUGGGCAAAGAUUUAUUCUUUGCAUUUGCAGAAGUUCGUGACAAAGUAUUUUGCAAAACAAUAGUCCAAGAAAACGUAAAUUCAUCACUUCAAAAUGAUUAUUCUAUCAGCAUGGGAGUGCUCGAAUUGCAUAUGGGCACACGAGGCAUUAUCGAGUUAAAAUCCGUCUGGAUAUUGCCAAAUAUUUACAACGCUUCUCUGAAUCUAUACAGCAAUUUACUGAAUAUUUCGUAGUAAGAUAAAAAUCCAGGGUUCACAUUAUGAGGUUUAUAUACAAAUAUAACAUUUGCAAAGCGUUGCUCCAAGACUCGACUCGAGAAAUAACGAUCAACUCUAUAGAUAAUAGGAAAAUAAAAUUAGUGUAUAGUGAGUAUUACACGAUAAUCACGACAUAUUAAUUUCUUCAACAUCUAACCAGUCUGGAGAGUCUUUAUCAGAAUUGUAAUUUUUUUUUCUGAAAUUAGCAGGCAUAUCUCCAUCAUCUUCUUCAAGAUCACUAAAUGACACGUCAUCCUCGUUCUCAACUGGGAUGUUGGUUCCACCGGCACCACCAGUUUCAGAACUUUCUUCUUUCAACCAGUCAUCACUAUCAUCCUCAUCCUUCAUUUCCAAAACAUUAGAGGGAUCAGAGUUCAACUUUUGAUCCUUGACUUGGUCAACCACCUCUUCUUCAAUCAUCGCUUUGUCAAUAAUUGGGAUUUCAGUGUUCUCGACUGCGUGCUUCACUAUUUCAGAAGCAGCUGUAGCAGUGGAAGUGCUUAAUUCAAGGGCAGAUGAUUUUUCAGGCUCAUUUUCAGAAGGAAUAGUAGAUGAUGCAUAAAGGGAGUCUUCAUGAGAAGAUGCGGUGGCAUCUUUUGGAUCGGAAGAUACUUUUCCAGGGAAGUCUUCUAGCGUUGUUGGUGUCUGGUUCUUUGACUCCUGUGCAAGCAAGGCUCUGGCUUUUAUUAUCUGCUUGUCAUGACAGUAAUGGAGGUCAACAACCUUGUCACUCAAGGAGAAAGAAAAAACCGCACAAGUUUUAGCAGCAAGUUCAUUGACAAGCCAUUUAUCCUUGUUUUGGGGGGGGGGGGGGGGGGGGGGGGAACAAUCUACUUUUCUAGCGAUACUAAAAUGACAAUGUAACAUACCAAAUUCACUUAUAGAAAAGCACAAUACUUGUGAUCAAAGACAAUUAACUCAGACAAAAAUGUUUACCAACUGUAAUCUAAUAAAAUGACAAAUAUUAGAAGCAAUGCACGCCAUAGUCCUUUUCUAACCAGCUCCAACAUAAAUUAACUUUUAAUUGAAUAUGCAAUAUGCAAGAAGAAGAAGAGACCUGAGAUGUUGAUAAUAUUUCAGCAUCCUCUUUAUCCAGUCGAGGGUGCAGGAGUACAAAAUAGAUCUUCCAGAAGCAACUUUCACUCAUGUAUCCUGGGCAAAGCUCAAACCUCAAAGCAGAUAAUCUUGGGGCAAGAUGCUCAACAGCUAAGGCGUGUUCUUGUUGGGCAUCAGACAUGUCAAAAUCUAAUAUCAAGAAAAAAAGGAAAAAACAAAUCAACAUUCUGUCAUAUUGAAUUCCCAUUUCCUGAAUUAAUAAUAAUUUUCUUCCAUAUCGUCAUUCAAAAUACUUUUGGAGUUGACAAAAGUCUUGAGCAUUGAAGUAUGCUAACGACAGGUUCUCUCUACCAAAAGAUGCAUAACUGGCUCUUUUGAGCAAUUUGCAUUCCAUGACUAGCUAAGUAUAUGAGAGAUUCUUAGGUUAACAACAUAAUACUUCGAUAAAUAUUUAAUAACAGAUAGAAUAAAAUAACAAAAUGAAUGAAAGAGUAAGGGGGCAUAGCACUAUACCAAAGAAGUGGAACUAAACCAUGAAUCCAUGGUCUUACUACACAAUUAUACAAGUCUUUUCAUCUCCAAUAAAUCAUAGAAGUUUCUUACUAUGUCCAUUUAUUCAAAUAUAUUCCACUUUACAUUUAUUGAUUUCCUAGUACAAUGUCUAAGAAAAUCUGCCUUAAAUUCAUUAAGCAUUUAUUUGAAAGAUGAUGCCAUCAUUGAAAGAUCAUCAAUUUGCUCCGCAAUAAAAUUAAUCCAAUUAAUCAGCACACUGUCAACUAGUAGAUAAACACUCCUUAGUUACUAAUCUGCACUUCACUAACCCCCUGAAAUUUCUAUAUAUAUACAAUUAUCAUACCAUCAUCAUCACUGUCACUUUCGGGCAAUGGGAAAUCCAACCAAGUUUUGGGAUGCAUCGCAAUAUCCCUCGCGAAAGCCACCACUUCCUCAGUCACACCAACUACUUUUUUACUCGCCGAAUCAAAAUCCUCUGUAUUGCCUGUCCAAGAUAAAAUUUAAAUGAAUAUAUGUGCAUUUCUCUAACACCUUGUGCUUGUAGAUGAAAUGAUUUGCAUUGAAUACCUUCCUUACCGAUUUCAUCAUCAGAUUCCAACUGUAGGAAAUUCGAGGCCAUUUUGGUAAUUUCCGUCACGUUGAUGUUAUUCGACAGCUUCGAAAUUCCGCUCCUGAACCUUCCCCCGAUCUCAGCUAAGUCAGUACGGAUGCCCGAUUCACCAUCCGGGUCGGGCUCCUGAUUCUGUUCCGAGUUGUUCGGAUCGAGCUGUGGCGGUGGGGCUAGAAAUGAGGCUACACCCCAGAACUGGUUCUUGAGGGUUUUGGUCAGUUCCGAGAGGUCUUCUUUGACGCCGCGCGACGGCGAGGUUGGAGAUGAAACAUCGUUGUCUUGGAGGAGGUUUUCCUGUUCGGGUUUGAUGCCCUUGAUGGCGUCAUCUUCCUCAUCGUCGAAUUUGAGCGUAUUAUUGAUUGAUCGGGCAAACCAAGACAUUGUAACUUGGAUCGAGUUCGGUUUCGGAUCGCCGGCGAUCCACUGUGCGGACUGGG